rnacentral:rRNA from 1 species
UUCCGGUUGAUCCCGCCGGAAGCUACUGCUAUUGGGAUUCGAUUAAGCCAUGCAAGUUGAAUGAAUUUAGAUUCAUGGCGUACGGCUCAGUAACACGUGGAUAACUUACCCUAUGGACUGGGAUAACUCCGGGAAACUGGGGAUAAUACCGGAUAUUAGGCUAUGCCUGGAAUGGUUUGCCUUUGAAAUGUUUUUUCGCCUUAGGAUAGAUCUGCGGCUGAUUAGGUCGUUGGUGGGGUAAUGGCCCACCAAGCCGAUGAUCGGUACGGGUUGUGAGAGCAAGAGCCCGGAGAUGGAACCUGAGACAAGGUUCCAGACCCUACGGGGUGCAGCAGGCGCGAAACCUCCGCAAUGUACGAAAGUGCGACGGGGGGAUCCCAAGUGUUAUGCUUUUUGGUAUGACUUUUCAUUAGUGUAAAAAGCUUUUAGAAUAAGAGCUGGGCAAGACCGGUGCCAGCCGCCGCGGUAACACCGGCAGCUCGAGUGGUAGCUGUUUUUAUUGGGCCUAAAGCGUUCGUAGCCGGUUUGAUUAGUCUUUGGUGAAAGCUUGUAGCUUAACUAUAAGAAUUGCUGGAGAUACUAUCAGACUUGAAGUCGGGAGAGGUUAGAGGUACUACCGGGGUAGGGGUGAAAUCCUAUAAUCCUGGGAGGACCACCUGUGGCGAAGGCGUCUAACUGGAACGAUCUUGACGGUGAGUAACGAAAGCCAGGGGCGCGAACCGGAUUAGAUACCCGGGUAGUCCUGGCCGUAAACGAUGUGGACUUGGUGUUGGAAUGGCUUUGAGUUGUUCCGGUGCCGAAGGGAAGCUGUUAAGUCCACCGCCUGGGAAGUACGGUCGCAAGAUUGAAACUUAAAGGAAUUGGCGGGGGAGCACCACAACGCGUGGAGCCUGCGGUUUAAUUGGAUUCAACGCCGGA